rnacentral:rRNA from 1 species
UACGUAGGGGGCAAGCGUUGUCCGGAAUUAUUGGGCGUAAAGAGCGCGUAGGCGGUCCGGUAAGUCGGUUGUGAAAGUCGGGGGCUCAACCCUCGGAUGCCGAUCGAUACUGUCGGGCUAGAGUCCGGAAGAGGCGAGUGGAAUUCCUGGUGUAGCGGUGAAAUCCGUAGAUAUCGGGAGGAAUACCAGCGGCGAAGGCGGCCUUCUGGACGGUUUCUGACACUAAGACUCGAAAGCGUGGGGAGCAAACAGG